rnacentral:rRNA from 1 species
AUUGAACGCUGGCGGCAGGCCUAACACAUGCAAGUCGAGCGGGGUUUUCGGACCUAGCGGCGGACGGGUGAGUAAUGCGUAGGAAGCUACCCGAUAGAGGGGGAUACCAGUUGGAAACGACUGUUAAUACCGCAUAAUGUCUACGGACCAAAGUGUGGGACCUUCGGGCCACAUGCUAUCGGAUGCGCCUACGUGGGAUUAGCUAGUUGGUGAGGUAAUAGCUCACCAAGGCGACGAUCCCUAGCUGGUUUGAGAGGAUGAUCAGCCACACUGGAACUGAGACACGGUCCAGACUCCUACGGGAGGCAGCAGUGGGGAAUAUUGGACAAUGGGCGCAAGCCUGAUCCAGCCAUGCCGCGUGUGUGAAGAAGGCCUUCGGGUUGUAAAGCACUUUCAGUUUGGAGGAAGGGUUGUGUGUUAAUAGUACACAGCCUUGACGUUACCAACAGAAGAAGCACCGGCUAACUCUGUGCCAGCCGCCGCGAUAAGAC